rnacentral:lncRNA from 1 species
AAAAUGCUGGAAACAGAUGUUCUGAAGCCUCUGACCUCUUAUCAUUAAUUUUAGAAUUUAAAUGCCUGUUAAUUUCCCCCUUUUAUUGCUGAGCUCCACACAGCAGCAUGUUCAAUGUCAAUGGGGAUAUCCUUUGGAGACAUUCAGUAUAUCAAAUCUGAAGGUCGCUGGAAAUCUGGGCACUUAGAGCAGGAGAGGAGGACCAGGAGAGAGGGGAAGGGCACCGUGGGGCACAGAGCGAGGUUGAGAAGAGGCUUCUUUGGCUGAAAUUGAGAGAUGAGCAGAAGACCUGAGUCUUCUGUCUGUCCUUGGCCGGUGCACACACGAAUAAGGGCUUUAGGGAGGAAACACACAUGACUCUUAGGAAAAUGGAAGCAGUGAUUUGAAGGAGCCUCCCUCACUCCCUGUGUCUGGCACCCUCUUUUUCCAUCUGAUGACCGAAAGGGGCUUACCAGGAGCUAUCACACAGCAGUGGACAGCACACAGAUCCUGGAGUCUGGCCGACCCGGGUUCAAGUUCUGCUUCCCUUGCUUUCGAGUGAGAAGACCUUCGAUACAUAUCUUCACUGAACCUCCAUUUGCUUGUGUGGAAAAUGGAGAUACAAAAAGAGGCCAGUUUACUUGCAGAGGUCGACCUCAGUGGACGCCUGUUCAGAUUUUCGAGUAUCUCUGGCAGAGUCUUGGGUUAGACAGCCCUUCCUGACACGGCCAUAGAUGGGAAGUCUGGAUUCAGAGUUCC